AUGAAAUUCUUACACUAAAAAUGCAUGUGCUAUUCUUGCUUGAGAAUAACAGAAUCUAUUUAUCUUAUACUUUUUUCAUAGGUUGUUACUGUCAAACCAAAUUAUGUGCCUAUAUAAGUUGUGCUUAUGGAUUAUGCGUUCGAGUAUAAAUUGCACCUGCAUUUUGGUUCUCGAUGGUGUCCAGUAAGGAUUUGGUCAACAACAAUGAUGUGUUUUAAGUUUCUCUUCUCUUGUAUGUCCAGGUGCAUCGACUCAGGGUGUAAUUGUAGAUUGAGGAUGAUGUCAGAACUCAGAAGCUUCAGCUUACAUGUUUAUUGCUAUUGGAAACUCGUCAAUGUAAAUUUCAGUGUAACUGGGCAGAUGGGUAAAUUUCAGUGUAAUACCAUGAGACUAUAGAUUACUACCAGACUCAAAGCAACUUAGGUCAGGAAUCAGGGCUCUCAAGCUUGCUGAACACGAAGGGCGAGGAGGGGUGUGCACCUUUUCACUCUCCGACAACUCUCUCUCUAAUCAUUGACAUCCUGCUUGAGCGAGGUAUGACAAUUGCAGUUCCUAAUGCUUUUAUUAAGUUUUGACAUGCCAUUGCAUUUAGAGAAACAAUUAUGCAUUAAUUAGAGCUCCUUGAAAUUUAAAAUUUUGUCAAGUCAUUUCUAUUUGUUAAUGGUCAAUUUCAGAAUUUAUCCAAGCUUUUACCUCUGUUCUUAACUGUAAGUUGAUUUGGCUUGUUCAGGGAUAUAGCUUUUGCUAUGCAUCUAUAUUACACUAUCUCUAUAUACAUAUUAAACCUACGUUCAGUGCUUUAAUUUAGUUUUCAAAUUUCUUUUGCACCUUCAAUUCAUAGUGAGACAUCGAGUUAUAGUUCUAGCAAACUCUCUGUAUGACUGCGCCUAAACAUUUUUAUUUGAAGGUUAUUUGAUAUUCAUUUUCAGCUUGUAGUUUAGAAAUGGUCUUUGGAUUCCCUGGUAGCCAAGGUUACUAAAGGGUAAUAGAACAUCUUGACCAACGGAUUUGUAAUAUUUACUCUGUUUGGUUAUCAAUGUUUACUUGCUAUUUAAGUUUUGUUUGAUCGUCAACUUUUUCUCAAUGUUUGAUUGUCAACUUUUUCUAUACCAGCAUCGAUGUACAAUCGUGUGAAAUUGUAUUACUGAAGUUUUUAGAAGUUGAUAGUUUUAUAUACUUGAUUGUUAUGACAAAAUUGUUUUAUUCAUAAAGAAAUCUAUCGGUGUAUUGCUACCAAAAUCCGCUAUUAAGUUUGAGAGGUAUCUGAUGGAUGAGAUUCUAUCGAUCGAUGCUGAUGUUAGUGAAGUUGAGCUUGGGAGAAGGUAAGUGUUGGCACCGAUCCGGGCGCCAAUGAGAAGGGCAAGUCGUUGUGCCUAGCAGACGCCCUCCGCGCGCACCGCGGCUAUGAUAGACACUGGAUCCAGGCAUGCCAUGUUCGUCCGCCUGCACGGAGAACCCGCUAAUGG